UGGGACAACUAGUUCGGACGACCGAGGAGGAAGAGCAUAAAUCAAAACACUUUCCAUUUUUGUCCAAAGAGAAUCUCUACCUCUCUCCCUGUUGCAAGCCAAGUAGAACAGAAUAGAAGAUGCACAGGUCGUCAAGCACUUCUCGAGUCUCCUCGGAGUUGUUCUCAUCGCAAUCGCAAUCGCAAACUUAUUCUGCUUCUUCCUCAGACAAUGAUCAACAAGAAGAACAAGAACAAGAACUACUACUACCCACAUACGACCCCCUCUCCCACGUUGCCAAGAAACAACUCUCUCGUCUCAGAUCCGCCCAGUCCGCCGUUCACCUCAUCCCUCUCGUUCUCCUCCUCUGCGCCAUCAUCCUCUGGUUCUUCUCCACCCCUGAGUUGAGGUCUUGAAGAUUGACAACAAUGUCAUGGUGAGAUCAACUUCCUCCCAAACUUGGAGUUUGACUUCGACUACUCAACUAAACAAGUUUUACAUGACUAGUCCACAACAUUACUUGACAAGAGUACUAAGGUCAUUCAUAGAUGUAAAAGUGCUAUGUUUGCCAUUUUAUAUGAACAAAAAGAUAUAAAUAAAAGGUUGUACUGUAUUACCAGUGUACAAAGCUCCCACUUUUGUGGGGUUUGGGAGGGGUCAUUAUUUUCAAUAAAGUUUCACUGGUUUUUGUGCA